rnacentral:rRNA from 1 species
GAACGAACGGAGAGAUUCAUCGUCAUUCCGCGGCGCACGUGCGUUGAUUCGAUGUCCUCGGCCUCGGUCGGCGGGCACGUGUCGCGCACGUAGCGUCCGUGGACGGCGUGCACUUCUCUCUUAGUAAUACAUCGCGACCCGUUCGAUGUCGGUCUAAGUGCCCUCCGGGAGUCUUCGCUUCCUUGUGUUGUGUAGACCGCGAGGUGUCACCGACCGGCCGUCGGACGGUAGUUUUCACGAAACGCGCACGCGCUCGUCGCGUCCGGCCCGACGCAAGGCAACGUCGUAUCCCCCCUCCUGCCCGAGUGCGGAAGGGGGUGCGGCGCGCCUGUUGUCGCAGCCGUGCUGUCUCGGACUGUGCGCGUCUCUGUCUGCGAUGAUU